rnacentral:rRNA from 1 species
CCUACGGGAGGCAGCAGUGAGGAAUAUUGGUCAAUGGGCUUACGCCUGAACCAGCCAAGUCGCGUGAGGGAAGACUGCCCUAUGGGUUGUAAACCUCUUUUGUCAGGGAGCAACGCCGGCUACGUGUAGCCGGACUGAUAGUACCUGAAGAAAAAGCAUCGGCGACCUCCGUGCCAGCAGCCCCGGUAAUACGGAGGAUGCGAGCGUUAUCCGGUUUUAUUGGGUUUAAAGGGGGCGUAGGGGGCCUUUUAAGUCAGCGGUGAAAGUCUGUGGAUCAACCAUAGAAUUGCAGUUGAAACUGGGAGGCUUGAGUAUGUUAGAGGCAGGCGGAAUGCGUGGUGUAGCGGUGAAAUGCUUAGAUAUAACGAAGAACCCCGAUUGCGAAGGCAGCUUGCCGGGCCGUGACUGACGCUGAGGCACGAAAGCGUGGGGAUCAAACAGGAUUAGAUACCCGUGUAGUC